UGGCUCAGAACGAACGCUGGCGGCGUGUCUUAAGCAUGCAAGUCGUGCGGCAAGGGGUAGCAAUACCCCCUAGAGCGGCGGACUGGUGAGUAACGCGUGGGUGAUCUGCCUUUGGGAUGGGGAUAGCCAUUAGAAAUAGUGGGUAAUACCGAAUACGUUCGCAUGGAUGCGUCCAUGCGAGGAAAAGCGCUUCGGCGCUGCCCGAAGAUGAGCCCGCGUCCCAUUAGCUAGUUGGUGAGGUAACGGCCCACCAAGGCGAUGAUGGGUAGCCGGCCUGAGAGGGUGUACGGCCACACUGGGACUGAGAUACGGCCCAGACUCCUACGGGAGGCAGCAGCUAAGAAUAUUCCGCAAUGGACGAAAGUCUGACGGAGCGACGCCGCGUGGAUGACGAAGGCCGAAAGGUUGUAAAGUCCUUUUGUUGGGGAAGAAUAACCAUGGGAGGGAAUGCCCGUGGGAUGACAUGAACCGACGAAUAAGCCCCGGCUAACUACGUGCCAGCAGCCGCGGUAACACGUAGGGGGCGAGCGUUGUUCGGAAUUACUGGGCGUAAAGGGCAUGUAGGCGGCUUUGUAAGCCCGGCGUGGAAGCCCACGGCUCAACCGUGGGAUUGCGUUGGGAACUGCGAGGCUUGAAUCAUGGAGAGGGAGCUAGAAUUCCUGGUGUAGGGGUGAAAUCUGUAGAGAUCAGGAAGAAUACCAGUGGCGAAGGCGAGCUCCUGGCCAAUGAUUGACGCUGAGGUGCGAAAGUGUGGGGAUCAAACAGGAUUAGAUACCCUGGUAGUCCACACUGUAAACGAUGUGCACUAGGUGCUGGGGCGGAUGCUUCAGUGCCGGAGCUAACGCGGUAAGUGCACCGCCUGGGGAGUAUGCUCGCAAGGGUGAAACU
rnacentral:rRNA from 1 species